rnacentral:rRNA from 1 species
GAGAGUUUGAUCCUGGCUCAGGAUGAACGCUGGCGGCGUGGAUAAGGCAUGCAAGUCGUACGGCUUUGCCUUCGGCAAAGUGCGCAGAACUGACGCAGAACUAUACGCAGAACUGACGCAGAAAAUUUUUCUGCGUGGUUCCGCGCUAGCGAUUGUGAAGCAAUCGCUCUCUUCCGCGUCUGUUCCGCGUGCCUCGCUGGAGGCGAGACAGUGGCGAACGGGUUAGUAACACGUAGAUACAAACCCGCUACACAGGUAUAACUCGGAGAAAUCCGAGCUAAUUCCUGAUGGUCUGACGGCUGAACCUUGCUUACAAGGUUUAAAUAACUAAUAACCAAUUUCUAAUUUCUAAUAAAAAUCUAAAUGUCCAAUGACUAAUGCCUAAAUCUUUUAGACAUUAGACAUUUAAGAAUUGGACAUUUUAUUAGACAUUAGGAAUUAGAAAUUAGGAAUUUAUUUUUGACGUUGAAAGAUUAAAUUUUGUAAGUAUGGUUCAGCUGUCAGUAAAGGUAUAGACAACUUUACCGGUAGCGGAUUGGUCUGCGGCCUAUCAGCUUGUUGGUGGGGUAAUGGCCCACCAAGGCAAUGACGGGUAGGGGGAGUGAGAGCUUGACCCCCAACAGAGGUACUGCGACACGGACCUCACUCCUACGGGAGGCAGCAGUCGAGAAUAUUCGGCAAUGGGCGAAAGCCUGACCGAGCGACGCCGCGUGCGGGAAGAAGGCCUUCGGGUUGUAAACCGCUUUUUAUUCUGAUAAAGCCGAGCACUCAAUACGCAUAAUCAAAUUAUUCAUUGUUAUUAUUGAUUAAAUUUAUAUUUUCUGUCUUUAAAAGAUUGUGUUUAUUGAGUGCUCGGUUGAUAGUAGGAAUAGAAUAAGGGGCCUCUAAUCACGUGCCAGCAGAGGCGGUAAUACGUGAGCCCCAAGCGUUAUCCGGAAUUAUUGGGCGUAAAGCGUCUGUAGGCGGUUUGUUAAGUUUCUCGUCAAAUUUCACGGCUCAACCGUGGAGCUGCGGGAAAAACUGACAAACUAGAGAACAUAAGAGGCUGAUGGAACUCACGGUGUAGGAGUGAAAUCCAUUGAUAUCGUGGGGAACACCAAAGGCGAAGGCAUUCAGCUGGGAUGGUUCUGACGCUGAGAGACGAAAGCGUGGGGAGCAAAAAGGAUUAGAUACCCUUGUAGUCCACGCCCUAAACGAUGGACACUAGCUGUCUGGAGUAUCGACCCUCUGGGUGGCGAAGCUAACGCGUUAAGUGUCCCGCCUGGGAAGUACGGCCGCAAGGCUAAAACUCAAAGGAAUAGACGGGGAUUCACACAAGCGGUGGAUCAUGUGGUUCAAUUCGACAACAAACGAAGAACCUUACCAGGGUUUGACACCCCGACGAAAGCUAUUUGAAAGAAUGGCCUUCUCACAAGGACGUCGGGGCAGGUGCUGCAUGGUUGUCGUCAGCAUGUGGCGUGAGUUGCCCCCUUAAAUGGGUUAACAUGCGCAACCCCUAUUCUGAGUUAUAUGUGUCUCAGAAGACUGCCUCUUUAAUAGGGGAGGAAGGCGGGGAUGACGCCAAAUCAGCAUGGCCCUUUGAUGCCCUGGGCGACACACAUGAUACAAUGGCCGGUACAGAGGGUUGCCAAGCCGCGAGGCGGAGCCAAUCCCAUCAAAACCGGUCUCAGUUCGGAUUGAAGUCUGAAACUCGACUUCAUGAAGCUGGAAUCGCUAGUAACCGUGGAUCAGCUAUGCCACGGUGAAUACGUCCCUGAAUCUUGUACUCACCGCC